AAAAACAGUUCUUACCAAACCGUGUCAGGAAACUCAACUGAAAUGGAUUUAGGGCUUUGGCCUUGCACUGCUCCGGAUUAAUUGCAUGGCUGAGCAUGGGACACAUGUGAUAAACGUUCUACAUUCACUUAAAGAAAUGUGGAUUCUCCAGGUGUUUGGUACAGCAUUCCAUGUAUGUUCAGUAUGUGAAUAUUUAUAAUCCUGUAUAAAUUCAUGUAUUCUAUU